CAAUAGCGUAUAUUAAAGCUGUUGCGGUUAAAAAGCUCGUAGUUGGAUUUCUGUCAAGGACAACUGGUCCGCCCCUCGGGUGAGCACAUAGUUUGGUCUUGGCAUCCUGUUGGAAACUGUUGCUGCACUUGGUUGUGUGGCGCAGUGUCCAGCACUUUCACUUUGAGGAAAUUGGAGUGUUUCAAGCAGGCACAUGCCUUUGGACACAGUAGCAUGGAAUAAUUAGAUUGGGCUUUUGCUCCAACUUGUCGGUUUCUGGAGCUGAGGUGAGAAUUAAUGGGGAUUGUUGGGGGCAUCCGAAUUUAGCCGUCAGAGGUGAAAUUCUUGGAUCUGCUAAAGACGGACAACUGCGAAAGCGUUUGCCCAGGAUGUUUUCAUUGA
rnacentral:rRNA from 1 species